GAUGAACGCUGGCGACAUGCCUAACACAUGCAAGUCGAUCGGUAAGGCUCUUCGGAGUACACGAGAGGCGGACGGCUGAGUAACGCGUAGGAACACACCCUGCAGUGAGGGAUAAGACACCGAAAGGUGUUCUAAUACCGCAUACGGUCUUCGGAUUAAAGCAUUUAUGCGCUGAAGGAGUGGCCUGCGUCAUAUUAGAUAGUUGGUGAGGUAAUGGCUCACCAAGUCGAUGAUGUGUAGCUGGUCUGAGAGGAUGAUCAGCCAGACUGGAACUGAGACACGGUCCAGACUCCUACGGGAGGCAGCAGUGAGGAAUAUUUCACAAUGAGCGAAAGCUUGAUGGAGCAAUGCCGCGUGCAGGAUGAAGGCCCUCGGGUUGUAAACUGCUUUUAUAAGAGAAGAUUAUGACGGUAACUUAUGAAUAAGGGACGGCUAACUACGUG
rnacentral:rRNA from 1 species